GUUACAAAUAAAAGUCAUAAUGUGAGGUUUACGCUAUAUUUUUCUAUUCAAUGGUGCUGCGGAUUAGUAAUAUACGAUUGAAACCAUUCUCAAAAGCUAGAAUCAGACUGGAUAAUGAUACGUAUUUACGCCAAUUGCACGGAAUCUCAUUAAAGACAACUUACGAAACGAAUUAUUAACAAAUAAUAACUAGGGGAUUAUGUUCCUGUUCUUUUACCGAAUAACUCCUAUUAGGAUCUUGUACUCAUGUGAUUGAAGAAUUACAGCAGCAGAUUCUCAAUUUCAAUUCUAGUUUUCUUGAAUUAGAAGAACAAUUGUACCUUGGUGUUUCUGUAAAACAAUAGGCAGCAGACCAAAAUUGAAUGUUUCGACCAUGGAUCACAAUAAGAUUUCUGGACUAUAGUGAAGCACUUAUUUCAGAAAUCUAAACUCUAACUGCCACUAACAGAGGAGUAAAUUACGUGAUUGGUGGAUGAAUUAAUGACAAUAACUUCUUUCAUUGAGCUGGCAAUUGGUCAUAAACCUGACUCACUUCAGCCUAUUCAUUAAUUAUUUACAUAGAUAACACUUAUGGAGAACACUUUUUGGAGAAUGUAGUCACCCUUAAUGAAUAGGUAAUUAUAUACUGAUUGCAUAUUCCUACCAAAACAUCUGCGAACCUGAAAAAAUUAUGGCACUUCAGCAGUUUGAGGUCUGCGCAAGAAUGUUUUUCAAUAGAUACCUACCAACUUAUCACAAUAGGCUCUUUUGUACUGGAAUAUUAAUUGAAUGCAUAUUAGAAUCAAAUUACAUAAUUGGUGGACAAUAACUUCCCUUAUUGAGCUGAUAAUU